UACGUAGGGGGCAAGCGUUGUCCGGAAUCAUUGGGCGUAAAGAGCGUGUAGGCGGUCCGGUCAGUCGGUUGUGAAAGUCAAGGGCUCAACCCUUGAAUGCCGGCCGAUACUGCCGGACUAGAGUCCGGAAGAGGUGAGUGGAAUUCCUGGUGUAGCGGUGGAAUGCGCAGAUAUCAGGAGGAACACCGGUGGCGAAGGCGGGUCUCUGGGCCGAUACUGACGCUGAGGAGCGAAAGCGUGGGGAGCGAACAGG
rnacentral:rRNA from 1 species